UACGAAGGGGGCUAGCGUUGCUCGGAAUCACUGGGCGUAAAGCGCACGUAGGCGGAUCUUUAAGUCAGGGGUGAAAUCCUGGAGCUCAACUCCAGAACUGCCUUUGAUACUGGGGAUCUCGAGUCCGGGAGAGGUGAGUGGAACUGUGAGUGUAGAGGUGAAAUUCGUAGAUAUUCGCAAGAACACCAGUGGCGAAGGCGGCUCACUGGCCCGGUACUGACGCUGAGGUGCGAAAGCGUGGGGAGCAAACAGG
rnacentral:rRNA from 1 species